CCUACGGGAGGCAGCAGCAGUGGGAAUAUUGCACAAUGGGCGGAAGCCUGAUGCAGCAACGCCGCGUGCGGGAUGACGGCCUUCGGGUUGUAAACCGCUUUCGCCUGUGACGAAGCGUGAGUGACGGUAAUGGGUAAAGAAGCACCGGCUAACUACGUGCCAGCAGCCGCGGUGAUACGUAGGGUGCGAGCGUUGUCCGGAAUUAUUGGGCGUAAAGAGCUCGUAGGCGGUGUGUCGCGUCGGCCGUGAAAACCUGGGGCUUAACUCUGGGCGUGCGGUCGAUACGGGCAUCACUUGAGUUCGGCAGGGGAGACUGGAAUUCCUGGUGUAGCGGUGAAAUGCGCAGAUAUCAGGAGGAACACC
rnacentral:rRNA from 1 species